AUACCGAUUUGGUACUCUUAUGAAGGCUUCGUAAUCGGAAUGAGUGAACUGUAAAUCAUUUUACGAGGAUCAAUAAAAGGGCGAGACUGGUGCCAGAAGCCAAGUUAACUUCAGCUCCAA
rnacentral:ncRNA from 1 species